GAGAUAUUGUACUUCUAGUGCUUUGUUGCUUCACCAUUUUUGUUCAACUUCUAUCAACUUCUCUCCCCUGUCACUACAAACAAUUACUGAAAUUAGCAAGGGAAUGAAUUCACAACAGUAAUUGCCUAGUUUCGUUGAUAAUCCACUAAUUCACAUCCAAUCUGUUUUUAAAUAGUGUCAAAAGUUUUCUGUGAAAUAGUUUAGUUUGAACAGGAAGGAAGGAUUGUGUGCUUAAG
rnacentral:misc_RNA from 1 species